rnacentral:misc_RNA from 1 species
AAAUGCUUAGUUGAGUUGAGUUGGAGAGAAUUAUAACACCUGCCUGUUUGAUAGAGAAGGCUCUAUAACCAAUUAAAAUUUGAUUAAGAAUAAAAGGGAAAAAAUUUGUUGUAGGGUUGAAAGUUUAAGUAAAAGAGUCUUCUAGGAAAGGGAACAAAAAAAGGGAAAAUUGAAAGAAGGGUGAUUUCAAAAUUCUCUAGAAAAUGGGAACCAAUUAGAAUUUUGUCUUGACAAAAGAGUAGAGGGUGAGUGAAAGCUUUCCAUUGUGAAAAUUGAGAGAGGGAAAAAGAGGAGAGGUGGCGGCACCUGCAAGGCUGCAACCCACCUUCUCCAGCCAACUUUGAUAGGCCAAGUCGAAGAAACCCAUCUCAAAACCUUCACCCUUGCCUUGAUUAGGUUGGUCUUGUUUUUCAUUCUACAAAAAUGUGAAUUUGAGGGAAAGAGGAAGAGGGAUAUCAGGUGCUGGAGCUUCCGGCCACCAUUGGCAUUACUAGCAUUUCCCCUAUGUCCAAAGCUUUAAGCAAGCUACCUUGCCUUUUCCAGCCACCACAAAACUCAUUCUUAGCAUCCAUUUCAGCCAAUCAAUAGGGAAGGAGUAGAACUUGCUGGCCUUGAUUUGCAUAGCUCUAGCCUCGCCACUAUGUGUGGUAGUCUCCAUGGUGAUUAGUGGCACUUGAGCUAGCUGUAGCCAUCCUUAGCAGUGCUGUCCAUCGCAAGUGGUUGACACAUGCUGACAAUAGCAGGGUGUGCUUGUGAAUGGUACUUGCAACCUAAAAAUUGUUUCUUGUUAUUGUUUAGUGCUUUGAGCUCUGAAUCAUUGAGAGUAAGUGAGGUUUAUUUCAAUUGGUGAUUUUGUGAUUUUUGGUUAUAUGUAUAUUGAAAUUUGAGUAAUGGGUUAAAAUGAUAUGAGUUAACUUGUGAAUAUUGAUUGGUGUGGAUGGGGAAGUGAAUUAAGGAAUUAAAUGCUAUGUUGUUGUUGGAUUGAGAAUGCUAAAUUGGUUGGUUAUAAAGAAUUGAUGGCUAUCUUGAUUUUUCUUAAUUAGAACUUGAAUGGUAAAGUUUGAAGUGAAGGAUUUAUUAUUAGCUUCAAAAUAUUUUAUGAACUGAGAAUUUUACUCUUAAAUAUUAAUUGAAAGAAGGGUCAAAUAAGCCCAAAUUAAGUUUUGGGUCAAAUAAACCCUUGUACUUUCUAAUUAAG